GAGGCAUCAGACUCCUCUUGUUAUAUAAUUGCCAUAACAUGAGCUCGGCAGUAGCUAGACACACGCCACUAGCUCAGAAGCUCCUCUCCUUGGGGUGACCAGUUGGAGGACAUGACAGCGCUCACUUACCAGAGUGUGCGAGAGACUGCCAUUACGUAGAUCUCACAGACAUUCAAAACUGGGCGACUUCCUAUUCAAGCUCAAGUUUACGUGAAUCAGCCAUGAGGUGGGAGAGGGGAAGUGAGCCUGCCAGCCUGUCUGCCUUCUAGCCAAGUAACAGAAGCCUACAAAGAGGAAUGGAAGAGCCUCACAACAAGUGUGUUUUCAUGGAACACCAUCAGUAACAGUAACCCUUACACCCUCAACACAAGCUGGGUAAGCAUGACAUACAGUUCGUCUCUUUCCUGGGGGACCUCUACAAUGGCAAACAAGGAGACUUUACUUCUUAUCUAAGAAAAUCUGCUUCCUGACUCUGAAGGCUGAAGCACGAUCAGCAGCACAGCAAGGCCACACAUUCCAGGAAAUCUGCUCCCUGACUUUCAAGACAAGCAGGAACAUGAAGCAGCACAGCAAGGCCACACACAUCAGCACUGGUGCAACAACUCUGAAAAGCAUCUAGGCUGUGUGCAUUGUGGGAUUUGAGAUGAGUGUGCCAUAACUUGCAUACUAUAUAGCAUUAGUCCAUUCACUCAUAGCUUGGAACCAAAGCUACUUUUGUAAUGCCACAGAUUGGUCUUGUAAUGCCACAGAUUACUCAGUGGCUCAAUCACUUAACCAUACAGACUGGCUUACUUUUCUUCCCAUGGCUCAAUCACUUUCCCAUACAGACUGGCUUACUUUUCUUCCCUCUAUCUUCUUUAUUUUGUGCAAUAUUUACUUGGUUUCAAGAUCAUUGGGCAGAAAAAUAUUAAUAAUAUUAAUACCAAUAGUAAAUUAUACAAAUGGGUUAAAAUUUACUAGACAAUAAUUGAGUCUUGAUCAUGAUGCUACAUUUCUCCCAAUCAUUUACUAUGCUUCUUUUUUCUCGCUACAUUUCUCCCAAUCAUUUACUAUGCUUCUUUUUUCUCCCAAUCAUUUAAUUCACCACAAACAUAUUAUCCUCAGCUCCCCUGUCCACUCAGAACCCAUUUUGUUCCUCACCUAGCACUCCAGCCCUCUUAAUCCAUUUACACAAUCUCUCAUUCAACACUACACACUAAAAACACAUUGCCUGCUUAUUCAUUAAUGCAUUUGCCCUAAAAUUCAGCUCUUUCUUACUCCUCCCUUAUGCAGCAGUCACCCUGUAUUCAUUCCACAUUCUUGGCACUCUCUCUCCUCCUCCCACACCUGGUUAAAUACCUCGGUCAUCCUGUCAGUCACAACUUUCUCUAUUUUUAUACAUCUCAUAGGAUAUUUCAUCUUGCAAGGAAGAACAAGUUCCAGCAUCUACACUAAAGUGGAGAAAGGCUGACUGAACCACACAACAAUCAAUGAUAAGGUUACAAAAGUAGCUUAUACUCUAGUUGCAAGUUUUGAGUGAUUGGACCAUACAGUGUGAGGUGCACUAUGGCAGACAAUAUACUCACAGGUGGGACUUGCCAUGGCAAUUCUUCUCAAAUCUCCACUUGCUCAUUGAAGUUCCUCACUGCAUUGCUGCACCUUAGAAUGUUCACUGUCCAGGUUCCACACUUCAUAUUAAGACUACUUCUGAACCUGUAAA